rnacentral:rRNA from 1 species
UACGUAGGGCGCAAGCGUUGUCCGGAAUUAUUGGGCGUAAAGGGCGCGUAGGCGGCCAGCACAAGUCAGUUGUGAAAUCUCCGAGCUUAACUCGGAAAGGUCAACUGAUACUGUGCGGCUAGAGUGCGGAAGGGGCAACUGGAAUUCUUGGUGUAGCGGUGAAAUGCGUAGAUAUCAAGAGGAACACCUGCGGCGAAGGCGGGUUGCUGGGCCGACACUGACGCUGAUGCGCGAAAGCUAGGGGAGCGAACGGG